GGAAAGGCGAAAAGAACCCCGGCGAGGGGAGUGAAAAAGAACCUGAAACCGUGUACGUACAAGCAGUGGGAGCACGCUUCGGCGUGUGACUGCGUACCUUUUGUAUAAUGGGUCAGCGACUUAUAUUCUGUAGCAAGGUUAACCGAAUAGGGGAGCCGAAGGGAAACCGAGUCUUAACUGGGCGUUAAGUUGCAGGGUAUAGACCCGAAACCCGGUGAUCUAGCCAUGGGCAGGUUGAAGGUUGGGUAACACUAACUGGAGGACCGAACCGACUAAUGUUGAAAAAUUAGCGGAUGACUUGUGGCUGGGGGUGAAAGGCCAAUCAAACCGGGAGAUAGCUGGUUCUCCCCGAAAGCUAUUUAGGUAGCGCCUCGUGAAUUCAUCUCCGGGGGUAGAGCACUGUUUCGGCAAGGGGGUCAUCCCGACUUACCAACCCGAUGCAAACUGCGAAUACCGGAGAAUGUUAUCACGGGAGACACACGGCGGGUGCUAACGUCCGUCGUGAAGAGGGAAACAACCCAGACCGCCAGCUAAGGUCCCAAAGUCAUGGUUAAGUGGGAAACGAUGUGGGAAGGCCCAGACAGCCAGGAUGUUGGCUUAGAAGCAGCCAUCAUUUAAAGAAAGCGUAAUAGCUCACUGGUCGAGUCGGCCUGCGCGGAAGAUGUAACGGGGCUAAACCAUGCACCGAAGCUGCGGCAGCGACACUAUGUGUUGUUGGGUAGGGGAGCGUUCUGUAAGCCUGUGAAGGUGUACUGUGAGGUAUGCUGGAGGUAUCAGAAGUGCGAAUGCUGACAUAAGUAACGAUAAAGCGGGUGAAAAGCCCGCUCGCCGGAAGACCAAGGGUUCCUGUCCAACGUUAAUCGGGGCAGGGUGAGUCGACCCCUAAGGCGAGGCCGAAAGGCGUAGUCGAUGGGAAACAGGUUAAUAUUCCUGUACUUGGUGUUACUGCGAAGGGGGGACGGAGAAGGCUAUGUUGGCCGGGCGACGGUUGUCCCGGUUUAAGCGUGUAGGCUGGUUUUCCAGGCAAAUCCGGAAAAU
rnacentral:rRNA from 1 species